ensembl:snRNA U6 U6 spliceosomal RNA
GUGCUCGCUUCGGCAGCGCAUAAAAUUGGAAAGAUACAGAGAAGAUUAGUAUGGCCCCUGUGCAAGGAUGAUGUGCAAAUUCGUGAAGUGCAUAAUUU